rnacentral:rRNA from 1 species
CCUACGGGGCUGCAGUGGGGAAUAUUGGACAAUGGGCGAAAGCCUGAUCCAGCCAUGCCGCGUGUGUGAAGAAGGCCUUCGGGUUGUAAAGCACUUUCAGUGGGGAAGAAAGCCUUGGGGCUAAUACCCUCGAGGAAGGACAUCACCCACAGAAGAAGCACCGGCUAACUCCGUGCCAGCAGCCGCGGUAAUACGGAGGGUGCGAGCGUUAAUCGGAAUUACUGGGCGUAAAGCGCGCGUAGGCGGUCUGAUAAGCCGGUUGUGAAAGCCCCGGGCUCAACCUGGGAACGGCAUCCGGAACUGUCAGGCUAGAGUGCAGGAGAGGAAGGUAGAAUUCCCGGUGUAGCGGUGAAAUGCGUAGAGAUCGGGAGGAAUACCAGUGGCGAAGGCGGCCUUCUGGACUGACACUGACGCUGAGGUGCGAAAGCGUGGGUAGCAAACAGGAUUAGAUACCCGAGUAGUC